rnacentral:rRNA from 1 species
CGGCGGACGGGUGAGUAAUGUCUGGGAAACUGCCUGAUGGAGGGGGAUAACUACUGGAAACGGUAGCUAAUACCGCAUAACGUCUUCGGACCAAAGUGGGGGACCUUCGGGCCUCACGCCAUCGGAUGUGCCCAGAUGGGAUUAGCUAGUAGGUGGGGUAAUGGCUCACCUAGGCGACGAUCCCUAGCUGGUCUGAGAGGAUGACCAGCCACACUGGAACUGAGACACGGUCCAG